rnacentral:RNase_P_RNA from 1 species
UGUCUAGGUAAUCGCUGCGCUGGUAACAGUGUAGAGGAAAGUCCAUGCUCACACAAUCUGAGAGUGAUUGUAGUGUUCGUGCCUGACGAAUUCAUAAGUCAGGGUAGUCUGUGAAUCAGGCUAACGGCAGGAGGCUUGCCUAAGUUAGUGUUUACUAAUAAGGUAAGUGCACCUUGAAAGUGCCACAGUGACGUAGUCUGUCUGGAAACGGACAGAGUGGAACGCGGUAAACCCCACGAGUGAGAAACCCAAAAACAUGGUAGGGGCAUCUUUGCGAAGGAAAUGAACGGAGCAAAGGACAGAUAUCGUUCUGUAGACAGAUGAUUACCACCUUAGUACGAGGGUGACUCCCGUUUGUAGUGCAAAGGUACAGAACAUGGCUUACGAAG